rnacentral:rRNA from 1 species
AUACGGGAGGCAGCAGUAAGGAAUAUUGGACAAUGGAGGCAACUCUGAUCCAGCCAUGCCGCGUGAAGGAUGAAGGCCCUAUGGGUCGUAAACUUCUUUUGUACGAGAGAAAACCUAUUUACGUGUAGGUAGUUGAUAGUAUCGUAAGAAUAAGGAUCGGCUAACUUCGUGCCAGCAGCCGCGGUAAGACGAAGGAUCCAAGCGUUAUCCGGAUUCAUUGGGUUUAAAGGGUGCGUAGGCGGAUUUGUAAGUCAGUGGUGAAAGCCGAUAGCUCAACUAUCGAACUGCCAUUGAUACUGCAGAUCUAGAAUAUAGAUGAUGUUGGCGGAAUAUGACAUGUAGCGGUGAAAUGCAUAGAUAUGUCAUAGAACACCGAUUGCGAAGGCAGCUGACAAAACUAUUAUUGACGCUGAUGCACGAAAGUGCGGGGAUCAAACAGGAUUAGAUACCCCAGUA